GGCCCUGCUUUUGUGGGGUGCUCGAGUGGCGAACGGGUGAGUAACACGUGAGUAACCUGCCCUUGACUUUGGGAUAACUUCAGGAAACUGGGGCUGAUACCGGAUAGGAGCUCCUGCUGCAUGGUGGGGGUUGGAAAGUUUCGGCGGUUGGGGAUGGACUCGCGGCUUAUCAGCUUGUGGGUGGGGUAGUGGCUUACCAAGGCUUUGACGGGUAGCCGGCCUGAGAGGGUGACCGGCCACAUUGGGACUGAGAUACGGCCCAGACUCCUACGGGAGGCAGCAGUGGGGAAUAUUGCACAAUGGGCGGAAGCCUGAUGCAGCAACGCCGCGUGCGGGAUGACGGCCUUCGGGUUGUAAACCGCUUUCGCCUGUGACGAAGCGUGAGUGACGGUAAUGGGUAAAGAAGCACCGGCUAACUACGUGCCAGCAGCCGCGGUGAUACGUAGGGUGCGAGCGUUGUCCGGAUUUAUUGGGCGUAAAGGGCUCGUAAGUGGUUGAUCGCGUCGGAAGUGUAAUCUUGGGGCUUAACCCUGAGCGUGCUUUCGAUACGGGUUGACUUGAGUAAGGUAGGGGAGAAUGGAAUUCCUGGUGGAGCGGUGGAAUGCGCAGGUAUCAGGAGGAACACCAGUGGCGAAGGCGGUUCUCUGGGCCUUUCCUGACGCUGAGGAGCGAAAGCGUGGGGAGCGAACAGGCUUAGAUACCCUGGUAGUCCACGCUGUAAACGGUGGGUACUAGGUGUGGGGUCCAUUCCACGGGUUCCGCGCCGUAGCUAACGCUUUAAGUACCCCGCCUGGGGAGUACGGCCGCAAGGCU
rnacentral:rRNA from 1 species